rnacentral:rRNA from 2 species
UUGUCUCAAAGAUUAAGCCAUGCAUGUCUCAGUACAAGCCACAUUAAGGUGAAACCGCGAAAGGCUCAUUAAAUCAGUUAUGGUUCCUUAGAUCGUACCCACAUUUACUUGGAUAACUGUGGUAAUUCUAGAGCUAAUACAUGCAAACAGAGUUCCGACCGGAGACGGGAGGAAUGCUUUUAUUAGAUCAAAACCAAUCGGCGGCGGUUGCGUUCGCGCUGCCGUUCGCCGCUCAACCUGGUGACUCUGAAUAACUUUCGGCUGAUCGCACGGUCUAGCACCGGCGACGCAUCUUUCAAAUGUCUGCCUUAUCAACUGUCGAUGGUAGGUUCUGCGCCUACCAUGGUCGUAACGGGUAACGGGGAAUCAGGGUUCGAUUCCGGAGAGGGAGCCUGAGAAACGGCUACCACAUCCAAGGAAGGCAGCAGGCGCGCAAAUUACCCACUCCCGGCACGGGGAGGUAGUGACGAAAAAUAACGAUACGGGACUCAUCCGAGGCCCCGUAAUCGGAAUGAGUACACUUUAAAUCCUUUAACGAGGAUCAAUUGGAGGGCAAGUCUGGUGCCAGCAGCCGCGGUAAUUCCAGCUCCAAUAGCGUA